rnacentral:rRNA from 1 species
GACGAACGCUGGCGGCGUGCUUAACACAUGCAAGUCGAACGGAAAGGCCCUGCUUUUGUGGGGUGCUCGAGUGGCGAAGGGGUGAGUAACACGUGAGUAACCUGCCCUUGACUUUGGGAUAACUUCAGGAAACUGGGGCUAAUACCGGAUAGGAGCUCCUGCUGCAUGGUGGGGGUUGGAAAGUUUCGGCGGUUGGGGAUGGACUCGCGGCUUAUCAGCUUGUUGGUGGGGUAGUGGCUUACCAAGGCUUUGACGGGUAGCCGGCCUGAGAGGGUGACCGGCCACAAUGGGACUGAGGUACGGCCCAGACGCCUACGGGAGGCAGCAGGGGGGAAUAUUGCACAAUGGGCGGAAGCCUGAUGCAGCAACCCCGCGUGCGGGAUGACGGCCUUCGGGGUAUAAACCGCUUUCGCAGGUAACGAAGCGUGAGUGACGGUAAUGGGUAAAGAAGCACCGGCUAACUACGUG